AUGCUUCAGCAGCACAUAUACUAAAACAUUAGAAUGAGACAGAGAAGAUUAGUAUGGCUCCUGUACAAGUUUGACAUGCAAACUUGUGAAACACUUCAUAUUUGC
ensembl:snRNA U6 U6 spliceosomal RNA